rnacentral:rRNA from 1 species
GUGCCAGCCGCCGCGGUAAUACGGAGGGUGCAAGCGUUGUCCGGAUUUAUUGGGUUUAAAGGGUGCGUAGGCGGCCCAUUAAGUCAGCGGUGAAAUCCCACGGCUCAACCGUGGAACUGCCGUUGAUACUGGUGGGCUUGAGUAAAGUCGAGGCGGGCGGAACUGGUGGUGUAGCGGUGAAAUGCAUAGAUACCACCAAGAACCCCGAUUGCGUAGGCAGCUCGCUAGGCUUUAACUGACGCUGAGGCACGAAAGCGUGGGGAGCGAACAGGAUUAGAAACCCGUGUAGUCC